rnacentral:lncRNA from 1 species
AUCGUAACAAAUAGUAAAGUGGACCUUUUGAGUCCGGAUUAUCGUUCCCACGAGAACUAUACUUUAGCGCUCAAUUUAUUAUUCCUAAAUUCUAUUUGACGAAAAUAAAUAAAAAUGUGAAUGAUUUUGAUUUUUAAUCUAACUACCCAAUGACACGUGAUUGGAUGCAACAGAAAAUAAGCGAGAAUUCAAAUAAUAAAUGGG